UUGAGGAGACAUGGUGGGGGCC
rnacentral:miRNA from 1 species